rnacentral:rRNA from 1 species
ACGGCUCAGUAACACGUGGAUAACCUGCCCUUAGGUUCGGCAUAACCCCGGGAAACUGGGGAUAAUACCGGAUAGAUCAUAGAUGCUGGAAUGCGCUGUGGUCCAAAGCUAUUGCGCCUAAGGAUGGGUCUGCGGUCUAUCAGGUCGUAGUGGGUGUAAUGUACCUACUAGCCUACGACGGAUACGGGUUGUGGGAGCAAGAGCCCGGAGAUGGAUUCUGAGACAUGAAUCCAGGCCCUACGGGGCGCAGCAGGCGCGAAAACUUUACAAUGCGGGGAACCGCGAUAAGGGGACACCGAGUGCCAGCAUCCUAUGUUGGCUGUCCAUAUGUCUAAAUCGCAUAUGUUAGCAAGGGCCGGGCAAGACCGGUGCCAGCCGCCGCGGUAACACCGGCGGCCCGAGUGGUGGCCACUAAUAUUGGGUCUAAAGGGUCCGUAGCCGGCUUGUCAGUCUUCCGGGAAAUCUGACGGCUUAACCGUUAGGCUUCCGGGGGAUACUACCAGGCUUGGGACCGGGAGAGGUAAGAGGUACUACGGGGGUAGGAGUGAAAUCUUGUAAUCCCCGUGGGACCACCAGUGGCGAAGGCGUCUUACCAGAACGGGUCCGACGGUGAGGGACGAAAGCUGGGGGCACGAACCGGAUUAGAUACCCGGGUAGUCCCAGCCGUAAACUAUGCUCGCUAGGUGUCAGGGACGGUGCGACCGUUUCUGGUGCCGCAGGGAAGCCGUGAAGCGAGCCACCUGGGAAGUACGGUCGCAAGGCUGAAACUUAAAGGAAUUGGCGGGGGAG